CCAGAAAUUGAGCAAGUGAAAUGGAGAAAAGCAUUAGAGAAAGAAUUAAAUUCUCUAAAACAGCGCUGUAUGAGGAAGUUAAGGAACCUGAGAAUUGUAAAAUAAUAGGAUGCAGGUGGGUAUUUAAGAAGAAGGUAGAUGCCGAUGGUAACUUAAGAUACAGAGCAAGGCUAGUUGCGAGGGGAUAUUCUCAGACAUCCAAUGAUUACGAUCAAGUUUUUGCUCCAGCAUUGAGACCAGAAACUUUGAGAUUUGUAUUGACUUAUGCAGCUAAGCACAAUUUAGUUUCCAGGCACAUAGAUAUAGAGACAGCUUAUUUAUAUGCUGACUUGCAAAAUACAAUAAAUGAAAAUUCCACCUAUUAUUGAGAAGAAAGGUAAAUGUUGGUUACUGAAAAAAGGUUUAUACGGAUUAAGGCAAAGCAGUUAUGAAUGGAAUCAACACCUAUCCAAAACUCCAAAAGGUAAUGGUUUUUCACAGGGAAAAGCAGACCCUUGUCUAUUUAUAAAAGGAAAGGAACAAGCUAUCAUAUUAGUCUUUGUUGAUGAUAUAGCUAUAUUUACAAAGAGUGAGAAAGCUGCUGAUGAAAUAAUACAAAUGUUGAAGAGAAAUUAUAAAUUGAGAGAUUUAGGUGAAAUCAGCAACUAUUUGGGAGUAGAAAUUAAAAGAUAUGAAAAAGGAUUUAAAAUAGCUCAAAGAAACAAAAUAUUAAAGCUAUUGAAGCAGUACAAAAUGAAAAACUGCAAAGGUGCUACAACUCCAAUGAAUGUUGAAUAUGAAAAAGAAAACAUUACUGGUCCCGAAUGUGAUAUAGAUUUAUACAGAUCUUUAAUUGGUAGUCUUCUGUAUCUUAGUAGAUGGUUAAGGCCAGAUAUUUCCAUAGCAGUGAAUUUAUUGUCAAGAAACGUGUGCAAGACAAAUGAAAAACAUUGGCAAUCGGCUAAGAGAGUGUUGAGAUAUUUAAAGGAGACACAAGACAAAAAGUUAUAUUUAGAGCCAGAGGGAGAAUUUAUCAUAAUUGCAUACGCGGAUGGUAAUUAUGGAAGCGAUGUAAUAACAAGGAGAUCUACUUCAGGCAUGACAGUACAUUUAGGAGGUAGGUUGGUGAACUGGAAAAGAGCAAGGCAAAAAUUUAUUUCUCUAUCGUCUGCUGAAUCCAAAUAUGCUGCAUUGUCAGAACUCUGUACUGAUCUUGUUUAUUAUAAGCAAUUAGUGCAGGAUCUGGGAAUAUAUUUACAAAAUCUGAUAACAAUUUAUGAAGACAACGAGGCAGUCAUUCAGAUGGCAAAUCCUCCAAACGUGAAGAGUAGGUCAAAACACACUGAUAUCAGAUAUCAAAUGUAAAACAAAGCAUUGAAAAUGU
rnacentral:lncRNA from 1 species